AUUGAACGCUGGCGGCAGGCCUAACACAUGCACGUCGGGCGAGCGGCGGCCGGGUGAGUAAUGUAUGGGGAUCUGCCUGAUGGAGGGGGAUAACUACUGGAAACGGUAGCUAAUCCCGCAUACCAUCAGAUGACACCAAAUGGGUUUAGCUGGUAGGUGGGGUAACGGCUCCCCUAGGCGACGAUCCCUAGCUGGUCUGAGAGGAUGAUCGGCCACACUGGGACUGAGACACGGCCCAGACUCCGACGGGAGGCAGCAGUGGAGAGUAUUGCACAAUGGGCACAAGCCUAAUGCAGCCAUGCCGCGUGUAUGAAGAAGGCCUUCGGGUUGUAAAGUACUGUCAGUCGGGAGGCGUUACCGACAGAAGAAGCACCGGCUAACUCCGUGCCAGCAGCCGCGGUAAUAC
rnacentral:rRNA from 1 species